CCAGAGGAACCCCCGCGUUGCCGCCGCAACGCGGGGCACCAAACCGUUCCGUAGGUGAACCUGCGGAAGGAUCAUU
rnacentral:rRNA from 1 species